GAUGGUCCCGCGGCGUAUUAGCUAGAUGGUGGGGUAACGGCUCACCAUGGCAAUGAUACGUAGCCGACCUGAGAGGGUAAUCGGCCACAUUGGGACUGAGACACGGCCCAAACUCCUACGGGAGGCAGCAGUAGGGAAUCUUCCACAAUGGACGAAAGUCUGAUGGAGCAACGCCGCGUGAGUGAAGAAGGGUUUCGGCUCGUAAAACUCUGUUGUUAAAGAAGAACAUAUCUGAGAGUAACUGUUCAGGUAUUGACGGUAUUUAACCAGAAAGCCACGGCUAACUACGUGCCAGCAGCCGCGGUAAUACGUAGGUGGCAAGCGUUGUCCGGAUUUAUUGGGCGUAAAGCGAGCGCAGGCGGUUUUUUAAGUCUGAUGUGAAAGCCUUCGGCUCAACCGAAGAAGUGCAUCGGAAACUGGGAAACUUGAGUGCAGAAGAGGACAGUGGAACUCCAUGUGUAGCGGUGAAAUGCGUAGAUAUAUGGAAGAACACCAGUGGCGAAGGCGGCUGUCUGGUCUGUAACUGACGCUGAGGCUCGAAAGUAUGGGUAGCAAACAGGAUUAGAUACCCUGGUAGUCCAUACCGUAAACGAUGAAUGCUAAGUGUUGGAGGGUUUCCGCCCUUCAGUGCUGCAGCUAACGCAUUAAGCAUUCCGCCUGGGGAGUACGGCCGCAAGGCUGAAACUCAAAGGAAUUGACGGGGGCCCGCACAAGCGGUGGAGCAUGUGGUUUAAUUCGAAGCUACGCGAAGAACCUUACCAGGUCUUGACAUACUAUGCAAAUCUAAGAGAUUAGACGUUCCCUUCGGGGACAUGGAUACAGGUGGUGCAUGGUUGUCGUCAGCUCGUGUCGUGAGAUGUUGGGUUAAGUCCCGCAACGAGCGCAACCCUUAUUAUCAGUUGCCAGCAUUAAGUUGGGCACUCUGGUGAGACUGCCGGUGACAAACCGGAGGAAGGUGGGGAUGACGUCAAAUCAUCAUGCCCCUUAUGACCUGGGCUACACACGUGCUACAAUGGAUGGUACAACGAGUUGCGAACUCGCGAGAGUAAGCUAAUCUCUUAAAGCCAUUCUCAGUUCGGAUUGUAGGCUGCAACUCGCCUACAUGAAGUCGGAAUCGCUAGUAAUCGCGGAUCAGCAUGCCGCGGUGAAUACGUUCCCGGGCCUUGUACACACCGCCCGUCACACCAUGAGAGUUUGUAACACCCAAAGUCGGUGGGGUAACCUUUUAGGAACCA
rnacentral:rRNA from 1 species